GGAUGCGAUCAUACCAGCACUAAUGCACCGGAUCCCAUCAGAACUCCGAAGUUAAGCGUGCUUGGGCGAGAGUAGUACUAGGAUGGGUGACCCCCUGGAAGUCCUCGUGUUGCAUCCC
rfam:Ipomoea nil DNA, scaffold: scaffold2400, cultivar: Tokyo-kokei standard.